rnacentral:rRNA from 1 species
UGCCUCUUGACACCACAUAAGAGGUAACUCCUGCCCAGUGAAAAAAAAUUUCAACGGCCGCGGUAUCCUAACCGUGCAAAGGUAGCAUAAUCACUUGUCUAUUAAUUGUAGACUAGAAUGAAAGGAUAAACGAAAUAAGCGCUGUCUCCGCUAGUCCUAUAUAAAUUAUAAUUUAGAUGAAGAUAUCUAAAUACAAAUGAAGGACAAGAAGACCCUAUAGAGCUUUAUUUAGAAAAAGAAAUAACUUCUUUUUAAAAUUCGGUUGGGGCGACCAAGGGAAAAUUUAUCACCCUUAACACACAGAUCCAUAAAUCUCUUGUAUGACCCUUAUUCAGGAGCAUAAAAACAAGCUACCUUAGGGAUAACAGGCUAAUCUUAUUAAAGAGUCCUUAUCUAUAAUAAGGGUUGGCACCUCGAUGUUGGCUUAGGGUAUCACUGUGGCGCAAAAGUCAUAGAAAGAUGGUUUGUUCAACCUAUAACUCCCU